UCAAAUACCGGAUCGGAUCCAUCAUGGUCAGAACUCUACCAUCUGGUUUCGUUCCUUCACACUCAGCUGAAAGAUUUUGAACAAAACGUUUUUCUUGCUGGUGAGGGAAAAAGAGAUUUUCCAGGCUUUGGUACAUUUGCAUUGAAUUUUUUUGUUCGUAUGUCGAAGGAGUUUUCUUCAAGAUCUCUCAACAUGAGCAAAGUGUUGAGGACAUAAACUCAAUUGAAGCUUAUACAAUGGAGCAUGCGUGGGAAAGCAGACAUCACUCUUACAUCUAAUUCAACGCGGAUCACCAAACAUUUACUUUUAUAGGACUCUACAUUGAGCCAAAGACUAAGAACCUGAUUGACGCAAAAACGAAACUUAUACUGGAAGAAGAAAUUAUUUCAGGAAGAUUAUAUUAUGCUUUUACACGCAAUGGUGUUCCUAUAAUAGAUUCGUUUGAUUGAAG